UACGGAGGAUCCGAGCGUUAUCCGGAUUUAUUGGGUUUAAAGGGUGCGUAGGUGGCCUGUUAAGUCAGGGGUGAAAGACGGUAGCUCAACUAUCGCAGUGCCCUUGAUACUGAUGGGCUUGAAUGAACUAGAGGUAGGCGGAAUGUGACAAGUAGCGGUGAAAUGCAUAGAUAUGUCACAGAACACCAAUUGCGAAGGCAGCUUACUAUGGUUUUAUUGACACUGAGGCACGAAAGCGUGGGGAUCAAACGGG
rnacentral:rRNA from 1 species